rnacentral:lncRNA from 1 species
AGGAGGGAUGAAGGGGUGAGUAGAGGAGGGAUGAAGGGAUGAAUAGAGGGGUGAAGUGAUGAACAGAUGAGGGAUGAAGGGGUGAGUAGAGGAGUGAUGAGGGGGUGAGUAGAGGAGGGAUGAAGGGAUGAAUAGAGAAGGGGUGAAGGAGUGAGUAGAGGUGGGAUGAAGGGGUGAGUAGAGGAGGGAUGAAGGGGUGAAUAGAGGAGGGAUGAAGAGGUGAGUAGAGGAGGGAUGAAGGGGUGAGUAGAGGAGGGAUGAAGGGGUGAAUAGAGGAGGGAUGAAGGGGUGAAUAGAGGAGGAUUGAAAUGUCACCGUGCCAACAGUAAACUGUUUAAUCUACAGUGUUUUAUGAAUGACAUAUACAUUGCAAUCCCCCGAACCUCUCCCAACCCUCCAACUCAAAACCCACUCACAGUGCAGAGGUAGGCCCAUUCAGGCUUGCAGUGGAGUAGUAUAGACUAUCAAUCAGACCUGGCUAUGUCUCACCAUGGAGAAGACAGGCCAGAGUAGCCUAUGGAUCAGACCUGGCUAUAUCUCACCAUGGAGAAGACAGGCCAGAGUA